AUGGUGGUAUUAGGGGUGGUAGUAGUAAUGGUGGUAUUAGGGGUGGUAGUAGUAAUGGUGGUGGUAGUAGUAGUGGUGGUAGUAGUGGGGGUGGUAUUGGGGGUGGUAGUAGGGGUGGUAGUGGUGGUAGUAGUAGUGGUGGUAGUAGUAGUAGUGGUGGGGGUGGUAGUAGGGGUGGUAAUAUUAGGGGUGGUGGUAGUAGUGGUGGUGGUAGUAGUAGUGGGGGUGGUAUUAGGGGUAGUAGUGGUGGUGGUAUUAGGGGUGGUAGUGGUGGUGGUGUUAGGGGUGGUGGUGGUGGUGGUAUUAGGGGUGGUAGUAGUGGUGGUAUUAGGGGUGGUAGUAGUGGUGGUGUUAGGGGUGGUAGUGGUGGUGUUAGGGGUGGUGGUGGUAUUAGGGGUGGUGGUGGUGUUAGGGGUGGUAGUAGUGGUGGGGGUGGUAUUAGUGGUGGUAUUAGGGGUGGUAGUAGGGGUGGUGGUGGUAUUAGGGGUGGCAGUAGUAGGGGUGGUGGUGGUAUUAGGGGUGGUAGUAGUAGGGGUGGUGGUGGUAUUAGGGGUGGUAUUAGGGGUGGGGGUGGUAUUAGUAGUGGUGGUGGUAUUAGGGGUAGUAGUAGUAGUGGUGGUGGUGGUGGUAUUAGGGGUGGUGGUGGUGGUAUUAGGGGUGGUAGUGGUGGUGGUGGUAUUAGGGGUGAUGGUGGUGGUAUUAGGGGUGAUGGUGGUAUUAGGGGUGGUGGGGGUGGUAUUAGGGGUGGUGGUAUUAGGGGUGGUAGUAGUGGUAUUAGAGGUGGUGGUGGUGGUAUUAGGGGUGGUGGUGGUAUUAGGGGUGGUAGUAGUAGUGGCGGUAUUAGGGGUGGUGGUAUUAGGGGUGGUAGUAUUAGGGGUGGUGGUAUUAGUAAUGGUGGUAUUAGGGGUGGUAGUAGUAAUGGUGGUGGUAGUAGUAGUGGUGGUAGUAGUGGGGGUGGUAUUGGGGGUGGUAGUAGGGGUGGUAGUGGUGGUAGUAGUAGGGGUGAUGGUGGUAGUAGUAGGGGUGGUGGUGGUGGUAGUGGUGGUAGUAGGGGUGGUAGUAGGGGUGGUAGUAGUGGUGGUGGUGGUGGUGGUAUUAGGGGUGGUAGUAGUGGUGGUGGUGUUAGGGGUGGUGGUGGUGGUAUUAGGGGUGGUAGUAGUGGUGGUGGUGGUAUUAGGGGUGGUAGUAGCGGUAUUAGAGGUGGUGGUGGUGGUGGUAUUAGGGGUGGUAAUAUUAGGGGUGGUGGUAGUAGUGGUGGUGGUAGUAGUAGUGGGGGUGGUAUUAGGGGUAGUAGUAGUAGGGGUGGUGGUAUUAGGGGGGGUGGUAGUAGUAGUGGGGGGUGGUAUUAGGGGUGGUAAUAUUAGGGGUGGUAGUAGUAGUAAUGGUGGUAUUAGGGGUGGUAGUAGUAAUGGUGGUAGUAGGGGUGGUAGUAGUAGUAGUAGUGGUGGUAUUAGGGGUGGUAGUAGUAGUGGGGGUGGUAGUAGUGGUGGUGGUAGUAGUAGUGGUGGUGGUGGUGGUGGUGGUGGUAGUAGGGGUGGUGGUAGUAGGGGUGGUAAUAUUAGGGGUGGUAAUAUUAGGGGUGGUGGUAGUAGUAGUGGGGGUGGUAUUAGGGGUAGUAGUAUUAGGGGUGGUAAUAUUAGGGGUGGUGGUAGUAGUGGUGGUGGUAGUAGUAGUGGGGGUGGUAUUAGGGGUAGUAGUAGUAGGGGUAGUAGUAGUAGGGGUGGUNNNNNNNNNNNNNNNNNNNNNNNNNNNNNNNNNNNNNNNNNNNNNNNNNNNNNNNNNNNNNNNNNNNNNNNNNNNNNNNNNNNNNNNNNNNNNNNNNNNNNNNNNNNNNNNNNNNNNNNNNNNUUAGGGGUGGUAGUAGUGGUGGUGUUAGGGGUGGUAGUGGUGGUGUUAGGGGUGGUGGUGGUAUUAGGGGUGGUGGUGGUGUUAGGGGUGGUAGUAGUGGUGGUGGUAUUAGGUGUGGUAGUGGUAUUAGGGGUGGUGGUGGUGGUAUUAGGGGUGGUAGUGGUGGUGGUAUUAGGGGUGGUAUUAGUAGUAGUGGUGGUGGUGGUAUUAGGGGUGGUGGUGGUGGUAUUAUGGGUGGUAAUAGUGGUGGUGGUGGUAUUAGUAGUAGUGGUGGUGGUGGUAUUAGGGGUAGUAGUGGUGGUGGUGGUAUUAGGGGUGGUGGUGGUGGUAUUAGGGGUGGUGGUGGUAUUAGGGGUGGUAGUAGUGGUGGUGGUGGAAUUAGGGCUGGUGGUGGUGGUAUUGGGUAGUAGUAGUAGUGGUGGUGGCGGUAUUAGGGGUGGUGGAAUUAGGGGUGGUAGUAGUACUGGGGGUGGUGGUGGUGGUGGUAUUAGGGGUGGUGGUGGUAUUAGGGGUGUUAUCACUGGGGGUAUUAGGGGUUGUGGUGGUGGUGGUAUUAGGGGUGGUGGUGGUGGUAUUAGGGGUAGUAGUAGUAGUGGUGGUGGCGGUAUUAGGGGUGGUGGUAUUAGGGGAGGUAGUAGUACUGGGGGUGGUGGUGGUAUUAGGGGUGGUGGUGGUAUUAGGGGUGUUAUCACUGGGGGUAUUAGGGGUUGUAGUGGUGGUGGUAUUAGGGGUGGUAGUAGUAGGGGUGGUAGUAGUGGUGGUGGUGGUGGUGGUAUUAGGGGUGGUAGUAUUAGGGGUGGUGGUAUUAGGGGUGGUGGUAUUAGGGGUGUUAUCACUGGUGGUGGUGGUAGUAGUAGUGGUGGUGUUAUUAGUAGUGGUGGUGGUAUUAGGGGUGAUAGGAGUGGUGGUGGUGGUAGUAGGGGUGGUAGUAGUAGUGGUGGUGGUGGUAUUAGGGGUGGUAGUAGUGGUGGUGGUAUUAGGGGUGGUAGUAGGGGUGGUGGUGGUAGUAGGGGUGGUGGUGGUAACAGCAGUAGUAGUGAUUUAUUCAUUAGUAGCUACGUAAAUACGUUCAUAGGACACCAUUUUGUUAAUUUUGUCUAUAUGCACAAUGCAGUGUUAUGCUACACUGUGGAAGUAUUAAUUCAUCCAGGCACAUUGAAAUGGAGUCAAAUGUUCUGUGGUUUAAAGCUUGGCAACAGAAGGGGAAAGAUUUAG
rnacentral:lncRNA from 8 species